UCGCAUCGCGACCCCA
rnacentral:rRNA from 2 species